GUGGAAUUUUCUUGUAGUGAAUUCGUUUUUGAGACGCAUCUUAAGCCCGAACUGCUGGUCGAGCGAAGCUGCAACUCUAAGUGAGGAGUGUUAUUCCAUCGGCUUACAGAUAUCCAGCCUUUCUAUUGGCAGAUGAGAGUAGUUAUUGUCAAGCAAAAGAGUCAAAGGUAAGAAAGUGAAGAGGAGAUUUAGAAGUGAAAGAAACAUUACGUCACUGAUGACAGCAUUACUAACAGCAUGAGAAGUAAACUUCACCCAUUGUUGGAUUGAUAUUUGAAGACUAGCUGUGAUCGAAGAGAUCGUGAUGGUGAAAGUCGGG